rnacentral:rRNA from 1 species
CCAGUAAACGGCGGCCGUAACUAUAACGGUCCUAAGGUAGCGAAAUUCCUUGUCAGGUAAGUUCUGACCCGCACGAAAGGCGUAACGAUUUGGGCGCUGUCUCAGCUGUAGACUCGGUGAAGUCUUAGUACCUGUGAAGAUGCAGGUUACCCGCGACUAGACGGAAAGACCCCAUGGAGCUUUACUGUAGCUUGAUAUUGGACUUUGAUGCAAGAUGUACAGGAUAGGUAGGAGACUGAGAGACAUGCACGCCAGUGUGUGAGGAGUCAAUGUUGGGAUACUACUCUUCUUGUAUUGGAGUUCUAACCGGAUGCCAUGGAACUGGCAACGGGACAGUGUCAGGUGGGCAGUUUGACUGGGGCGGUCGCCUCCCAAAGAGUAACGGAGGCGCCCAAAGAUACCCUCAGCUUGGAUGGAAAUCAAGCGCAGAGUGCAAAGGCAUAAGGGUGUUUGACUGCGAGACCUACAAGUCGAGCAGGGACGAAAGUCGGGCUUAGUGAUCCGGCGGUGCUGAAUGGAAAGGCCGUCGCUCAACGGAUAAAAGCUACCCUGGGGAUAACAGGCUGAUCUCCCCCAAGAGUUCACAUCGACGGGGAGGUUUGGCACCUCGAUGUCGGCUCAUCGCAUCCUGGAGCUGAAGUCGGUUCCAAGGGUUGGGCUGUUCGCCCAUUAAAGCGGUACGCGAGCUGGGUUCAGAACGUCGUGAGACAGUUCGGUCCCUAUCUGUCGUGGGCGUAGGAAGUUUGAGAAGAUCUGUCCUCAGUACGAGAGGACCGGGAUGGACAUAUCAAUGGUGCACCAGUUGUCACGCCAGUGGCACAGCUGGGUAGCUAAAUAUGGAAGGGAUAAACGCUGAAGGCAUCUAAGUGUGAAACCCACUUCAAGAUGAGACUUCCCAUUACGCAAGUAAGUAAGACCCCUUAAAGACGAUAAGGUUGAUAGGUCAGGAGUGUAAGCAUGGCGACAUGUUCAGCGGACUGAUACUAAUAGGUCGAGGACUUAACCUA